GACGAACGCUGGCGGCGUGCCUAAUACAUGCAAGUCGAACGCAGUGGGGACGGGUGAGUAACACGUGGGUAACCUCCCAUCAGAGGGGAUAACACUUGGAAACAGGUGCUAAACCGAUACUGAUGGAUGGACCCGCGGUGCAUUAGCCAGUUGGUGAGGUAACGGCUCACCAAGGCCACGAUGCAGAGGCGACCGAGGAGGGUGAUCGGCCACACUGGGCCGGAGACGGGGACCAGACACCGACGGGAGGCAGCAGUAGGGAAUCUUCCGCUGAGAACGAAAGUCUGACCGAGCAAGGCCGCGUGAGAGAAGAAGGUUUUCGGAUCGUAAAACUCUGUUGUUAGAGAAGCGGUAUCUAACCAGGAAGCCACGGCUAACUACGUGACAGCCGCCGCGGUAAUAC
rnacentral:rRNA from 1 species